GAGCCAUUAAAGGCAGUGAAGAAAUCACCAGAACAGUAAGAGGAACAGUCAAGAAGUCAACAGGAAAUAUUAAAAAGACAUCAGAAGGAGCAGACAGUUGAAAGACAGAAAGGCUUCAGCUGUUGUAAUUUGGAGAGUGCUAAUUAGAAGAGAAACAUCUUCCUGCAUGGGCUGAAGAAAAGCCUGAGAGCAUGCUGAGGAAAGGGACACAGACUUGCUGCAGUUUCAGCUUGAAAAACAUUUGACAGGACUUGCUUACAUUUUCCAGAAAAUAAUUACUUUUUGUCUGACAACAAUGGAAAGUUUCUGUACGUUGUGUUCAAUGGAAAACUCCCAACAACAGAAAAGAGAGAGCUGUGAUGAUGGUCUGGAGCCAAAGAUUCUUUACUAAGAGCUGCUGUAAUUAUAAAGAGGAUGGUCCAGAGCAUCUCUGUGGAGAGUCUGUCUACUUUCACUUAACCUGGGUAUCCAGUGAGAAUUUAAAUGGAAGAGGGGAAAGAACGCUGGAUUUAGUCAGGAGAUGCUGGUUCCAAAAGAAGAUCUUUUUCCACACAUUACCUUUCCCAUACCUAUCCAGUAACAGGCACAGUUAUAUACUCUUUCUACUUUCUUUUUUUGCUUAAGCAUUUCUUAAGUCUUUUUCCUCCUCAGACCAUUUAGCUAGAGAGAGAUAAAAUUAAAUUUAAAUUAGGACAAAGGGCCAAAUCUUUCUGCUUGAAAGUUAGGAAUUUCCUAACUGGCGGCUUGGAACUACUUUGGUUGUACUACUAACUUUUCAUCUGAUAUAUAUUCCAUAAAACAGUAGAAGAAGGAACCAUAGAGUCUUGAGAAGUCAUUUUUUUUGCCCUUAGGCUAAAAAGUGAACUAAUUGCUAUAUAAGAGGAUGUGACUAAUUAAAUCUCCAAAGAAAAAAAAAAAAGGAGUAGGAAGGAGAAAAUGGUGACUCAGGUAGAAGAGCACUUCUUAGCCUCACCUACCUCCCUGAUAGGAGAUAGAAAAGGCAUGGAAAGGCCCAUCCAUCAGGGAGAAGGAAGAAGAAAGGAUGGGAGCUGACUGUAUUCUCCACAGAAACAUUUAGAUCCACAUUUAAGAGUCUUUAUGGAGAUCAAAAUAAUACGUGUAAAACACUAUGCAAAACUUGAAGUCUUAUGUAAAAUAAACAUCAUUUUUACCCCUU